rnacentral:rRNA from 1 species
CAAGGGGAUAAGUGCGGACGGUGCUAAAAAGUGGUAAUUUACUACGAGCCUGGGAUAAAACCCGAAGGUGUGUUAAUACNGGAUAAGACNACGGCANUGCGGUGCUGUGGGAAUGACCGCAAGGUCAAUUNGUAGAUGAGCCCGCGGCNUAUCAGCUAGUUGGUGAGGUAACGGCUCACCAAGGUACGACGGGUAGCUGGUCUGAGAGGACGACCAGCCACACUGGAACUGAGACACGGUCCAGACUCCUGCGGGAGGCAGCAGUGGGGAAUAUUGCGCAAUGGACGAAAGUCUGACGCAGCAACGCCGCGUGGGUGAUGAAGGCCUUCGGGUUGUAAAGCCCUGUCGCCCGGGACGAACAAGCUCGUGAAGAACGAGCCCUGACGGUACCGGGAGAGGAAGCACCGGCUAACUCUGUGCCAGCAGCCGCGGUAAUACAGAGGGUGCUAGCGUUGUUCGGAAUUAUUGGGCGUAAAGGGCGCGUAGGCGGCUUCGUAUGUCGGGUGUGAAAGCCCACCUCUUAAAGGUGGAAUUGCAUUCGAAACUACGGGGCUGGAGUGCCGGAGAGGAUGGUGGAAUUCCCUGGUGUAGAGGUGAAAU